UCGAAGAAACUUGCUGGGUAAUUCACUUGAGAAUAAAAUGAAAAUGGGAAAUUAAAGGAGCAACAUCAUUGAGAAUAGUACAAAAGAAAAGGGGGGAACGCUCUUAUCCCAAAAAGGAACAUAAAAGAUCAUAAUUGCAAGAUGAUUGAAGUCAGUGUUGUAGUCUUUUGUAAUUUUAUUAAUUCGUAAAUCUAUUUGCAUCAAAUUCUUGAAUUGUUCUUUAAAACAAACAUCACAAUAAGAUCGCACAGCACAAAAAUAAUCGACUAUUAGUGAAAACAAGAAGGGUUGAAAAGCGCAAACAAAAUAUAGACAUCGACAGCCAUUGAUGAUCAAUACUCCAAGACCUCUCUGCUUCUCCACUC
rnacentral:lncRNA from 1 species